GUGACCUCAAAUCAGGUAGGACUACCCGCUGAACUUAAGCAUAUCAAUAAGCGGAGGAAAAGAAACUAACAAGGAUUCCCCUAGUAACUGCGAGUGAAGCGGGAAAAGCUCAAAUUUAAAAUCUGGCAGUCUUUGGCUGUCCGAGUUGUAAUCUAGAGAAGUGUUAUCCGCGCUGGACCGUGUACAAGUCUCCUGGAAUGGAGCGUCAUAGAGGGUGAGAAUCCCGUCUUUGACACGGACUACCAGGGCUUUGUGAUGCGCUCUCAAAGAGUCGAGUUGUUUGGGAAUGCAGCUCAAAAUGGGUGGUAAAUUCCAUCUAAAGCUAAAUAUUGGCGAGAGACCGAUAGCGAACAAGUACCGUGAGGGAAAGAUGAAAAGAACUUUGGAAAGAGAGUUAAACAGUACGUGAAAUUGCUGAAAGGGAAACGCUUGAAGUCAGUCGCGUUGUCCAGGGAUCAACCUUGCUUUUGCUUGGUGCACUUUCUGGCUGACGGGUCAGCAUCAAUUUUGACCAUUGGAAAAAGAUUAGGGGAAUGUGACAUCUUUGGAUGUGUUAUAGCCCUUGGUUGCAUACGAUGGUUGGGAUUGAGGAACUCAGCACGCCGCAAGGCCGGGUUUUUAACCACGUACGUGCUUAGGAUGCUGGCAUAAUGGCUUUAAUCGACCCGUC
rnacentral:rRNA from 1 species